rnacentral:rRNA from 1 species
CAGACCUCUAAUCGAAAAAG